CCCGUUACCAUAUUACUUAUAUGUCUUGUCCUGCCGAUCAUAUCCGCUGAACAAAGUCCACUUUGUUUCAAGGAUCAAGAAUGAAUAACCGAUGGAUGUAGUGUCCCACUAUUUGGAAGAUUUCCAUACAAAAAGAUUUUUGAACCUGCUUGUCAACUUCAUGAUUUAUGUUAUAAUUGUGGAAUAGCGCAAAGCAAAGACCGGAAAUACUGUGACAAAAUUUUCCUGGAAAAAAUGAAACAAAUUUGCUCCACAAAAGAGAGUAGGAAGAAACGAUCAUGCAGAAGAUAUUCAAGAUUGUAUUAUGUUGGUGUUCGUGCGGGCGGGAAAUCAUCAUUUCGGCAGACUCCAAAAGCUGAAUGUAGCGUACUAGACUGGAUAGCCAGUUGUUUUCCGUAAAUCAAACAUAAUUACUCUCUAGUUGCAUGUUUAGAUUAAACUUUUUAUUUGUCUUAAUAAAAUAAAGAUAUAAAUAGUU